GGGAGGGGGCUCCUGGACCCAGAUUCUAUUUUUCCAGAGGACAGAGGCUGCAUCUGGAGCCCUGAGUCUGAUUCAGAGAAUUCACCCCUGGGUCACAAGGGCAGGGUUCACACUGGGCACGUGACUCUCUUUUGAACCACACAAACACAAUCCAGGUGCUGUCGUCAUGCAAUAUGCCUCUCCCUGGGCACAUCUGGAUAAUUCUACUUCUAAGAGGUAUUCCAAGUUCCUUUAUUUCCCCCUCCACCCUGUUAGCCCAAGCCACCAUCAUCUCUCACCUGAGCCAAAGUUCUUCUGUCUUCCCACUUCUACUCCUGCCUGCUCAAAACCAGAGGGACUUAUAUUUAAAAAGAUAAAAUAUAAUCUCAUCAGGCCACCCCACCUCCUCCUGCCUGCCCCCCACCUUCCUUGUAAUGCCAGUCCCACCUCCCGGAUCUAUGCAAUUUGUUUUCUCUGCAAUCACUCCUGAUCCCCCGUUCUUCCUCUGGCUACUCCUACCCAUCCUCCAGGUGUUGGCUCACACUCUAAAGGAGGGUACAAGAAAUAUCACAUGUCCUUCAAGUCUUUUUGGCCUCACUGUGCACCACUGAAGCUGUCGUCAUGGAGCGUUCUUUCCUUCUCUUAGGGCCUCGCCAGCAUUUAGGAUGCUCAUGAAUGACCCGGAACAUGAGUAAGGACCUCUACUGGCACUCUCCGUCCACCUGGGUCACUGCUCCUGUCCUCACUGCCAACGCUGAGGGGCCCUUGAAGGAGGUGAUUCCAAUGCUGCAGGAUCUUGGCCUUGGCUGGAAGACUCAGAAUUGAGCUUCAGGUCUCUUUUUGGGCGCACCCCAAACCAUGUUACUGAAUACCACCAGUGACUGGGCACAGCUUUCUACUCCUAAAAGGCUCCUUCUCUCCUUCCCUGCUUCCCAAACAAGAGGCAGGCUUGUUUUGGGGCAUGUCUGCUUUCUGCUAUGGACAGGAAGCAUAAAGGGCCUGGCCACUUCCUUGGAGAGUGAGAAACAUUCAGAAACACAAUUCAACUUCAAAUUACGUGCUAGAAAAGCUACUUAUCAGAUCUACCCAUAAUGGCCCAAUCUGAAUGAGAUCCCCCCAGUCAGGGCCCAGACCCGCUUUACCUGGUCUGUGUGCCCAUUCCCUGGAUACUGUGUUGGCGGCGUCUCAGGGCUGCACUGUUCUCUGCAGAGCCACAUCCCCUGACCAACAGGCAUACUGCGUAAAAGGCCUAGUCUCCGGUCUCAAAGUGGGACAACUCUUGGUGCCACCAUUUUCACAGCUGUUGUGGGGUCUGCCGUAGGCUAGACUUCAGCUGAAGUCACAUCUUUGCUCACCUUUCCCCUUGCCCUAUCCUGCUGCUCCCGAGCACAGCAGCCUCUAGAAAUCCUUUGCACGAGAAACUCUGCCUCAGGCUUUGCACCCAAGUAACAUCCAAUUUUCCUUCCUAGAAUGUCACAAUUUGAAAUUAUGACUUUGUAUGGCUCCUGGUUCAACGCUUGUUUAUCCUACUAAACAAAGGCAGAGGCCCUGUUUAUUUUGUCCAUUGUUGUAUUCCCAGCACGAAGCCUGUGCCUCCCAAACAGAACACACACAUGCUUUCACCUGGAUGUUUGGAUCACAGGAGAGUUGUUACACAAGGUUCCUACUGAAAUCCC